GGGGGUAUAGCUCAGUGGUUGAGUGUUUGGUUAGCAUUCAUCAGGUCAUAGCUGGAUUCUGAGUACCUCCA
rnacentral:tRNA from 1 species